GAUAUAGAAGAAGAAACACAGAAGAAGAGAGAGAAAAGCUCUGUUCUUCAAAAAGGGCGCUUUGAAAUGCAAAUUCCUUCGAGGUUCCAUUUUCUUGAUGCUCAUAAUAUGUAUUUCUCACUGACAGAAUUUGGAAUUGGAAUUUUGGUGUGAUAGCCGCACAGAAGUCGUCGAAUUUUCGAUUCAAAAAUCACCUCCAAAAGAACUAUGAGGUGAAUUUGAACGAAAAUUUGGCAAUAGUUAGCGACUCUCAAGAGGUCCCUUGGUUGUUCUGUAAUUUGUGGAUCGGUAUGGGAAGAUUAUGCAAUCUACUAAACACUCAGAGUUCUUGGAAGGAUGGGGAAUUAAUUCAGAUGAAUUAUGGUAAUUUCUUUGACUGGAACAAGUUUUGGGCAAAUGAUCACAGCUGGUUGAUCGUAUUAUUCAUCUUCAAUUCUGUACUCACUUUUGGAAUUAAAGGUUUGUUAUGUUUUUGUUAUGCGGUGUGUUUCUUGAAUCAUUCUGAUUCACAUGAAUUUUACAAAUAAGCUAGUUUAAAUAUAUUUUUGUUGCUUCUGCUACUAAGUAUUUGGAAUUACGACUUUGCUUAUUAGAGUUGAGAAAGCAAUGUAAUAUAGUGACAUCAUUUAUCAAAACGAGAAACAAUCAGAUUUUUGCUCUUGCAGCUGAUUAUUUUUGGUGCUAAAUGAUGGUUACACCGUCCGUGUGGCUGACAAGAAAUCAAAAACUAUUUAUUGGGUACUUCUGUUCUGUAGACUCGCUUAGGACUUUUUUAGGGCUCGUUGUCAAUGCAGAGGUAGUCUUUUCCUCUUGCACAUUGGCCAUCGGAUUUUGCAACCUUAUGUAUUUUGCCUAUAAGGGUUUCAGGAUCUUGUUCCGAAGGCUCGUUUUGUUAAUGGUUUACUGAUCAAUUUUAGCGGCCAAUCUUAAUACUGCUCUCAACUUAUUAGCUAGGUUGGCAUGGAGGAAUUUUGAUUCCUGCUGUGGAUUGUCUUCCUUGUGCUAGUGAAUUGUGAUAAAUAUAGUUGAGUUUUAUAGUGCCACUUUAGUAUACCUUGAAACAUUAUUUUGGACUGAGAACGAAAAGGUUUGGUAGAAGAAUCAGUUUGUAGUUCUAAAACCACCCUCAUUGAAACUUAACCUAAUUAAGUCCAAAACCACCCUCAUUGUUUACUGUUAUUCUUAUUCUCUGUUGGUUUUCCCUUGUGCUAAGGGUCUUGAUUGAUUGGUAUAAGGCAAAGAUAAUCAAGCACAUGUUGUUUUAUGUAGCUGCAAGUGAAUGAGGUUUUCCUUUCCAGGAUCCAGAUACGGUAAUAGAGUUCAAAAGGGAUUUCCAGAGUCAAUAUGAUGAUCACAGGAUACUUUGUCCUAUAAAAUUUAUAGCAAGUGCAUUGGCUUAUUAGAUUGUCGGUUGCUGGAAGAGGACAUGGACCAUAAUAUUGAGAUGAAUAGUUAAAUUUUAUUAGUUAAUUAGCUAUGAGCUGAUGCUGACUGGGUCUUUGAUCCAACUAGUAAUUUUUCCAAUUUCCCCUAUUAGAAUUAGUGUGACAGCUUGUGAAAGCUGUAGAAAAAGAAGGAUAUGGAGGUGAGAGAUAUAUUCGGCUGCUUAAGUUUCAGGGGAAAGUUGGCCAAAGCUACUAUAUACUUCAUCUGAUUACUCCAGGGAAGGUAACUUGGAGGUUCAUUUGGUAUUUGUAUGGCACUGGAGAAAAGCAACUGCAUGGUGUAUUGUGGAUCCCGGCUUCAGCUAUUUCUUGUCAAAUUCAUGUCAAGAAGCCAUCGUAAAAUUUAUUUUUGUGUUUUUUAUUUUUUUAUGUUUUUGUUUUUCUGGAUGGAGCACUCAUUGCACACACAUGCUUUUCUUCAACGCUACCCAUUGAAGAUAUUGAGACACAGUUGAAGAAAGAUGGUUUUAUAUAGUCUUGUAGAUCAAUCUGGUGUAUGAUAUAUAAUGAUUGUUGAGUUCAAAACGUACCAGUUUCUAUAUGCCUCUUUUGCAAGAUCGAACACAAGUCUCCUAGUGAACAGUACUGGAAAUUGUGACUUCGUUUUGUCGCGCAUUCAAAGGUCUUUGAUGGAAUUAUGUAAAGGGUUAAAAUAGUGAAUGGAUUUGUUGGGGGCCCUCUACUCUGGCUCCUGAUUCCUGAAAUUGUCAGAAAACAAUUAAGGUUGGGUUGGUUUUGCUUUUUCAUUUUCUGUGUUGGUAAAAAAGCAACUUUGAAUGUGCAACCCCAAUACACUUACUUACACGUACUAAUAGUACCAAAGGAGUCGGCUCCCUUGAUUAAAAGCAACUUUGGUUUUGCUUUUCUUCA